rnacentral:rRNA from 1 species
AUAACACCAUUAAAGAUUCAUCGGUAAACGAUGGGGAUGCGUUCCAUUAGGUAGUAGGGGGGGUAACGGCCCACCUAGCCUACGAUGGAUAGGGGUUCUGAGAGGAAGGUCCCCCACAUUGGAACUGAGACACGGUCCAAACUCCUACGGGAGGCAGCAGUGAGGAAUAUUGGUCAAUGGGCGAGAGCCUGAACCAGCCAAGUAGCGUGAAGGAUGAAGGUCCUACGGAUUGUAAACUUCUUUUAUAAGGGAAUAAAACGCUCCACGUGUGGAGCCUUGUAUGUACCUUAUGAAUAAGCAUCGGCUAACUCCGUGCCAGCAGCCGCGGUAAUACGGAGGAUGCGAGCGUUAUCCGGAUUUAUUGGGUUUAAAGGGAGCGCAGACGGGAUGUUAAGUCAGCUGUGAAAGUUUGGGGCUCAACCGUAAAAUUGCAGUUGAUACUGGCGUUCUUGAGUGCAGUUGAGGUGUGCGGAAUUCGUGGGGUAGCGGUGAAAUGCUUAGAUAUCACGAAGAGGUCCGAUUG